GGCUUGAUGGUGUAGCGGGAACACAGCUGUUUAAUAUCUGAAGGAUAGAGUCCAUUGUUCGAUUCAAGGUCAAGCCA